CCUACGGGUGGCAGCAGUGGGGAAUAUUGGGCAAUGGGCGCAAGCCUGACCCAGCAACGCCGCGUGAAGGAAGAAGGCUUUCGGGUGGUAAACUUCUUUUAAGGGGGAAGAGCAGAAGACGGGACGCCUUGAAUAAGCCACGGCUAACUACGGGCCAGCAGCCGCGGUAAUACGUAGGUGGCAAGCGUUGUCCGGCUUUACUGGGUGUAACGGGCGGGCAGCCGGAGAGAAAAGGCAGAUGGUCAAUCCAAGGGCUCAACCCGUGAACUGCAUUUGAAACUGUUUCCCUGGAGGGGCGGAGUGGUAAUCGGCAUUCCUUGUGUCGCGGUGACAUGCGUAGAUCUCAGGCAGAACCCCAGUGGCGACGGCGGCUUACUGGACUAUAACUGACGGUGAGGCGCGAAAGCGUGGGGAGCACACCGGAUUAGCUCCCCGGGUAGUC
rnacentral:rRNA from 1 species